rnacentral:rRNA from 1 species
AACGAACGCUGGCGGCAUGCCUAACACAUGCAAGUCGAACGAGACCUUCGGGUCUAGUGGCGCACGGGUGCGUAACGCGUGGGAACCUGCCCUUAGGUUCGGAAUAACUACCCGAAAGGGGUGCUAAUACCGGAUAAUGUCUUCGUACCAAGGAUUUAUCGCUAUUGGAUGGGCCCGCGUUGGAUUAGCUAGUUGGUAGGGUAAAAGCCUACCAAGGCGCCGAGCCAUAGCUGGUCUGAGAGGCUGAUCAGCCACACUGGGACUGAGACACGGCCCAGACUCCUACGCGAGGGAGCAGUGGGGAAUAUUGGACAAUGGGCGAAAGCCUGAUCCAGCAAUGACGCGUGAGUGAUGAAGGUCUUAGGGUUGUAAAGCUCUUUUACCCGGGAUGAUAAUGACAGUACCGGGAGAAUAAGCCCCGGCUAACUCCGUG